UACGGGGGGAGCAAGCGUUGUUCGGAUUUACUGGGCGUAAAGGGCGCGUAGGCGGCCACCGCAAGUCAAUUGUGAAAUCUCCGGGCUUAACCCGGAAAGGUCAGCCGAUACUGCGGGGCUAGAGUGCAGAAGGGGCAACUGGAAUUCUCGGUGUAGCGGUGAAAUGCGUAGAUAUCAGGAAGAACACCAAUGGCGAAAGCAGCUCUCUGGGACGGUACUGACGCUGAGACGCGAAAGCGUGGGGAGCGAACAGG
rnacentral:rRNA from 1 species